rnacentral:rRNA from 1 species
AGUGAACGCUGGCGGUAGGCCUAACACAUGCAAGUCGAACGGCAGCACAGUAAGAGCUUGCUCUUACGGGUGGCGGGUGGCGGACGGGUGAGGAAUACAUCGGAAUCUACUUUUUCGUGGGGGAUAACGUAGGGAGACUUACUCUAAUAUCGCAUACGACCUACGGGUGAAAGCAGGGGAUCUUCGGACCUUGUGCGGAUGAAUGAGCCGCUGUCGGAUUAGCUAGUUGGCGGGGUAAAGGCCCACCAAGGCGACGAUCCGUAGCUGGUCUGGGAGGAUGAUCAGCCACAUUGGAACUGAGACACGGUCCAGACUCCUACGGGAGGCAGCAGUGGGGAAUAUUGGACAAUGGGCGCAAGCCUGAUCCAGCCAUACCGCGUGGGUGAAGAAGGCCUUCGGGUUGUAAAGCCCUUUUGUUGGGAAAGAAAAGCAGCAGGUUAAUACCCCGCUGUUCUGACGGUACCCAAAGAAUAAGCACCGGCUAACUUCGUG